rnacentral:rRNA from 1 species
UAAUUGAAGAGUUUGAUCAUGGCUCAGAUUGAACGCUGGCGGCAGGCCUAACACAUGCAAGUCGAGCGGCAGCACAGAGGAACUUGUUCCUUGGGUGGCGAGCGGCGGACGGGUGAGUAAUGCCUGGGAAAUUGCCCGGUAGAGGGGGAUAACCAUUGGAAACGAUGGCUAAUACCGCAUAACCUCGCAAGAGCAAAGCAGGGGACCUUCGGGCCUUGCG